rnacentral:rRNA from 1 species
UGUCUGGGAAACUGCCUGAUGGAGGGGGAGUAACUACUGGAAACGGUAGCUAAUACCGCAUAAUGUCGCAAGACCAAAGUGGGGGACCUUCGGGCCUCAUGCCAUCAGAUGUGCCCAGAUGGGAUUAGCUAGUAGGUGGGGUAAUGGCUCACCUAGGCGACGAUCCCUAGCUGGUCUGAGAGGAUGACCAGCCACACUGGAACUGAGACACGGUCCAG